GCGGAGGAAAAGAAAAUAACAAUGAUUUCCCUAGUAACGGCGAGUGAAGAGGAAAGAGCUCAAAGUUGGAACCUGUUUGGCUUAGCUAAACCGGAUUGUAAACUGUAGAAACGUUUUCCUGGCACGCCAGAUAAAUAAGUCCUUUGGAACAGGGCAUCAUAGAGGGUGAGAAUCCCGUCUUUGGUCUGAGCUGUUGUCUUUUGUGAUACGUUUUCAAAGAGUCAGGUUGUUUGGGAAUGCAGCCUAAAUUGGGUGGUAAAUCUCACCUAAAGCUAAAUAUUUGCGAGAGACCGAUAGCGAACAAGUACCGUGAGGGAAAGAUGAAAAGAACUUUGAAAAGAGAGUUAAACAGUAUGUGAAAUUGUUAAAAGGGAACCGUUUGGAGCCAGACUGGCUUGAUCGUAAUCAAUCUAGGUYUCGACCUGGAUGCACUUGCGGUCUAUGCCUGCCAACGACAGUUCUUUUUGAAGGAUAAAACUAGGAGGAAUGUAGCCCCUCGGGGUGUUAUAGACUUCUAGAUAAUACUUUGAUUGGGACUGAGGAACGCAGUGAAUGCUUAUGGCGAAAUUGCUAGGCGCUUUUGUUGAUAGAUGUUAGAAUUUCUGCUUCGGGUGGUGCUGAUGUCUAAAGAUAAAACUCGUUUGGUUAAUUUUCUAUUCACUUAGGUUGUUGGCUUAAUGACUCUAAAUGAC
rnacentral:rRNA from 1 species